rnacentral:rRNA from 1 species
CAGUCGCCACGGUAAUACGGAGGGUGCAAGCGUUAUCCGGAUUUAUUGGGUUUAAAGGGUCCGUAGGCGGACUUAUAAGUCAGUGGUGAAAGCUUGUCGCUUAACGAUAGAACUGCCAUUGAUACUGUAAGUCUUGAGUAUAUUUGAGGUAGCUGGAAUAAGUAGUGUAGCGGUGAAAUGCAUAGAUAUUACUUAGAACACCAAUUGCGAAGGCAGGUUACCAAGAUAUAACUGACGCUGAGGGACGAAAGCGUGGGUAGCGAACAGGAUUAGAUACCCCAGUAGUCCCUGUCCUUAUACA